GUGGGGAAUUUUGGACAAUGGGCGCAAGCCUGAUCCAGCAAUGCCGCGUGCAGGAAGAAGGCCUUCGGGUUGUAAACUGCUUUUGUACGGAACGAAAAGGCUCUGGUUAAUACCUGGGGCUCAUGACGGUACCGUAAGAAUAAGCACCGGCUAACUACGUGCCAGCAGCCGCGGUAAUACGUAGGGUGCAAGCGUUAAUCGGAAUUACUGGGCGUAAAGCGUGCGCAGGCGGUUUUGUAAGACAGAGGUGAAAUCCCCGGGCUCAACCUGGGAACUGCCUUUGUGACUGCAAGGCUGGAGUGCGGCAGAGGGGGAUGGAAUUCCGCGUGUAGCAGUGAAAUGCGUAGAUAUGCGGAGGAACACCGAUGGCGAAGGCAAUCCCCUGGGCCUGCACUGACGCUCAUGCACGAAAGCGUGGGGAGCAAACAGGAUUAGAUACCCUGGUAGUCC
rnacentral:rRNA from 1 species